rnacentral:rRNA from 1 species
UACAGAGGAGCCAAGCGUUGUCCGGAUUGACUGGGCGUAAAGCGCACGCAGGCGGUUGCGCGCGUGGGGUGUGAAAUCUGGCCGCUUAACGGCCAGGCGCCAUCCCAUACGGCGCGACUGGAGUGAUGCAGAGGUCGAUGGAAUUGCCGGUGUAGUGGUGAAAAUGCGUAGAGAUCGGCAGGAACACCCCAGGGGGGAAACCAGUCGACUGGGCAUCUACUGACGCUGAGGUGCGAGAGCGUGGGGAGCGAACCGG